rnacentral:rRNA from 1 species
AACGAACGCUGGCGGCAGGCCUAACACAUGCAAGUCGAGCGCACCCUUCGGGGUGAGCGGCGGACGGGUGAGUAACGCGUGGGAACGUGCCCUUCUCUGCGGAAUAGCCUCGGGAAACUGAGAGUAAUACCGCAUACGCCCUUUGGGGGAAAGAUUUAUCGGAAAAGGAUCGGCCCGCGUUGGAUUAGGUAGUUGGUGGGGUAAUGGCCCACCAAGCCGACGAUCCAUAGCUGGUUUGAGAGGAUGAUCAGCCACACUGGGACUGAGACACGGCCCAGACUCCUACGGGAGGCAGCAGUGGGGAAUCUUAGACAAUGGGGGCAACCCUGAUCUAGCCAUGCCGCGUGAGUGAUGAAGGCCUUAGGGUUGUAAAGCUCUUUCAGCUGGGAAGAUAAUGACGGUACCAGCAGAAGAAGCCCCGGCUAACUCCGUG